rnacentral:tRNA from 1 species
ACCAGGAUGGCUGAGUGGUUAAAGUGUUGGACUUAAGCUUUAAUGGGUGCAUACUUGUGUGGGUUCAAACCCUACUCCUGGUA